rnacentral:rRNA from 1 species
CAGCCGCCGCGGUAAUACAGAGGGUGCGAGCGUUAAUCGGAUUUACUGGGCGUAAAGCGUGCGUAGGCGGUGAGUUAAGUCUGCUGUGAAAUCCCCGGGCUCAACCUGGGAAUGGCAGUGGAUACUGGCUCGCUAGAGUGUGUCAGAGGAUGGUGGAAUUCCCGGUGUAGCGGUGAAAUGCGUAGAGAUCGGGAGGAACAUCAGUGGCGAAGGCGGCCAUCUGGGACAACACUGACGCUGAGGCACGAAAGCGUGGGGAGCAAACAGGAUUAGAUACCCGGGUAGUCCCUGUCUCUUAUAC